ncrna:unclassified sequences Glutamine riboswitch
AUCGUUCAAUCUGAAUUAAUUCAGAUCGGAAGUAGGUAAAACCGAAGGAACGCGGA